UGUUUGGUUGACAGUCCAUUGCUGACCACUUGUGCUGGGCACUCCCCAGAGCAGCCUCAUGGCUGAGUGUGGAGGAAGCCCUGGGGAGGCUCUCCAGGCAAAAAAGGGUCUUGGUGGGAUCUCCUGCCCUGGAGAACCCCUUCCGGAGACAGAGCUGUGGUGGUGGGUUUAGGACAAGGUCUUUUUAUACCAGGAAGGAGACAGAGAGAAGAAAGUAGAUAGUUUCUGGUUACAUAAUGAAAGUAAUGAGAGUUUAACAAAGGAAUUUCAGAGGUUGUAGGAUCCAGAGGAAAGUUUAACAGGGAAGAUCCAAACAGUGCCAAGUCCAGAAUGAUCCCUCUUUGCACUGGGUGCUUUCUGAUCCUACUGGGAAAAUAGCUUAACAAUUAGCACAAGGAGCAAGUGGAUCCUUGCAGGGAAAUACAGUAGAGACUUGAUAGAUUUGAGUUUCCUUCCCGUUGGUAGAAUGUGGAUAACACGUAGAGAAGUGACUCAGAUUCAUCACAGGAAAAUAUCACGUGUGAUAACCCUCAGGUGGAACUUUGCUCAAGCUGAAGUAUGGGAUGUGCAAGGUGCCAAACUGCUUUUAUUCUUUGCUUCCAUGGGUUCAUUAAAUGCUGUUUUCACCUCCUUCUCAGCCAAAUUAAAGGGUCAAUGUAGAGGGAUUCAACACACAGAAUUGCUGAGAGUGUGUUUGACGACUAAAAUGGGAGAAAAUAUGACCCUAAGGUUUUUUGGAUGUUAAACCCAUCUUCUGUGCUUGUUUUUCAGAGCAGAGUUGAAGGUCCUGAUUGAAGCAGGAUGAAUUCAGAUGGCUGGCUAUCUAUCUAUGCACCUCUUCCUCUCUAUUGCACUUCAGUGUUCUGUAGUUUUGUGUAUGUUGAUUUUUGCCUCUUAGUAAAAUUACUUUUAUAGUUGUGUUCAAGAUGGCUUUUUAGAAACACAUCACAGAAAACUCUGUAGAAUAUAAUUUUGUCUGAAGUUUUACCAUGCCACUGUU